UUAAAAAUGAUUUAAAUUUAUUACUUUCGUUGGAAUUAAAUCAUAAAAUCGUAGAUUAUAUAUUUGCGCACGAGGGAUAAAACUCCUAGCAUGGGCCUUCGGCAUUGUUGACGCCAUAUCGAGUGUAUGCAACUUUUAAGUUGACGUUGGAACAGCAAUGUUUGAGAAUUAGUGCAGACGUUGUCGAUUUGACAUAGUAAACUAGUAUAGCAAAACAAACAAACACAAACUUGAAUAUUUUUAUUCAAAAUAUUAAAGCUACAGCAGAAUUUUGGAAAGAGAUCUGAAGUUUUACUUUGAGUUAAAGCUAUGAACUACCCUCCAGGUACAGAGUACUCUGGUGAUGGUGUGCUCUAUGAUAGUUUUGGUGAGACUAGUUCAGAAUUUGGUGGAAAUCUUGAAAGUCCUAAUGAGGUUGCAGUGUCAAGCCUACCUGGUGAUUUGGACAGACAGAAGCGUAGGGAAAGAAAUCGAAGGCAGAACCGUAACAGAAAUCGAGAACGAUUUGAUAGAGACCGGGUAGAUAGGCCACUUAUUUGUAAUGAGUCUGCUGUCCAGGGUUUCUUGGAGGGAAAUUACAGAGAUGAGGAAUAUGGUGAUUACAGUUGUGAAAUUGAACAGGGUUAUCCAGACAGAAGAGAUAGUAGCUACAAUAACUUUGGAGACAGAGGAAACUGUGAUGAUAGAAGAGGGAGGAACAGAGGGCGUCGUGAUCGAGAGCGAAAUAGAGAUAGAGAUAGAAACCGUGGUAGGGACAGAGAUCGUGAAAGAGAUAGAGAUAGAUCCAGGGAUAGAGAGAGAGAUAGGGACUGGCGGGAAGAAAUUCCAAAUAAUACAAUUAUGGUCAGGGGGCUAGCUCCUCAUAUCUCGGAGGCCGAUCUGAGGAAUGAAGUGACAAGAUAUGGACUUGAACCUAAAGACAUCAGGCUCAUGAGGAAGAAAUAUAAAGAUACAGGUGCAUCCCGAGGCUUUGCUUUUGUGGAGUUUCUCUUACUCUCCGAAGCUGUUCGCUGGAAGGAACUUACACAGGGAGUUUUAAUCUUUGGUGGAGACUAUCGUGCUACACUACAUUACAGUAUUCCAAAGGAUGGUAGUGGAAUGAAACGAAACGAUGCUAGCAGAGCUGAUUGGAGUUGCAGCAAAUGUGGACUAAACAACUUCCGUAGAAGAGACGUUUGCUUCAAAUGUAACACUCCCAGAGAAGAAGCGGAAGAAAUCAGAAGACAAAGUGGAGAUGGAUUUGAACAGAUCAGUUCCACUCCAUCAAAUGCAUUAUUACUUCGUAAUCUGGAUACUCUUACGACAGAAGAAAGAGUGCUUUCUGUUUUAGGACAGCUAACUUCUCUGCCAAUCAAAAGUAUAGGAAUUGCAAAUGACCCCUUGACCAAUACCUCCAGAGGAUUUUGUUUUGUGGAGUUACACUCUAUAUCAGAAGCUUCUCAACUUCAUGACCUGCUUUUGUCAUUGGAUGGUCAGUUUUAUAUAGAUGGCAGACCAGUGACAAUAACUUAUGCCAGGAAGUCAGUAAAUGUUAUCCAUAGUGCUGCCAGUGCCAAUGCUGCUAGUGUGGCUUUAGCAGCUGCUCAGUGGACGAAUCAGGUAUGACUAAUGUAAAUAUCUAGAUGUUACUGGAAACAUUCUGAACAAAACCAUUACAUUUGGAGAGAUGUAGUAGUUGUAUGUUAAAGCUUGGGAAGGUCAUCUGAUUAUGGUUGAACCGGGAUCACUGCCUGUAAAUAAGAACGAACAAUAUCAGCAAGGAUACGAUCAGUAUCAGG